rnacentral:lncRNA from 1 species
AGAAAAUGUCACAGGGACGGUGGCAGGUGAGGAGAGCGACAUGCUCACGCAGGUGCGCAGCAGGAGACCUGCAAAGGCAGGUCACCAUGGCACCGUUUGCUCGGGACACAGCCGAGACGUCUGCUUAGGGAAGUGGACAGACAACUUGCGAUGUGUGUCAUAAGAGAAAGUAUUUACUCUGCAGCAUUCAGAAUGAACCAACAGGAUCUGUGUGUAUCAAUAUGGGGAAAACACAGUGUUGAGUGAAAAAAAUUACAGAUACUUAAAGAGUCAUGAAGAUUAAAAAAAAUAAUUUUAUGUAUUGUUCUAGACACCAGUCUCUGUGGUCAAAGUACAAACAUGGUCUGGGGCUAUAUACCAAGUUCAGAUCGGUGGUUUCCUAUGGGGAGCAAGAGAAGAGAAUGGGGUCUGGGAGAGGUGUGUCGGGGCCUUCAGCUAUAUUUGUAACUUGUUAUUUCUAAAACUAUGAAGCAAAUGUACCAAAAUGUCAGCACUGGUUAAAUCUGGGUAGUGGGUCAGGGAUUUUGUCUUCUUAUUCUCUGUAUUUAUAUACAUAUUUAAAAUAUGUGUAAAUUUUUAAAAAUACACGUGGGUCUGGUGUUUGUAGAGAGGGCAGGACUAAAGCUAUAGCAUUGGCUCACCUUCACAGCAGGCUCAGGUGAAUCAGUGGGCUGGGGAGUUUCACCUGGGCCUCGGCACUGGCCACUGGCACUUCACACAGAGGCGAGCAAGGGCCUUGGGAAGCACUUAUUUUUCACAAAGCAGGUAGAGAAAGAGAAGGAAAAGAUGGGAAUAGGAGGUUUCAGAAAGGAGCAGAGCCAGGAGAGAUGUGUCAUAAGGAGGUCCAGGAAAGAAAAAUAAUUUCUAAUUAUGGGGCCGGUCAUGGUGGCUCAUGCCUGUAAUCCUGGCACUUUGGGAGGCCAAGGUGAGUGGAUCACUUGAACUCAAGAGUUCGAGACCAGCCUGGGCAACAUGGCAAAACCCUGUCUCUACAAAAAAAAAAAAAAAAAAAAAAAAAGAAUUUCAAAAAUUAGCCAGGCAUGGUGACGUGUCCCUGUGGUCCCAGCUACUUGGGAGGCUGAGGUGGGAGGAUACUUGAGCUGGGGAGGUUCAGGCUUCAGUGAGCUGUGAUUGCACCACUGUGCUCCAGCCUGGAUGACAGAGCAAGACGUUGUUCCAAAGACUAACUAAAUAAAUAAAAAUAGUUUUAAAAAUUACAUGGAAAAUGUCAAUUGCUUUGUAUGUAGAAAUACAGAGACUAAGAGUGAAUCCCCAUAUACCCACCCUGAACAUCUUGAAUUAAAUAAUUGUCAAGGUUUUGCCAUAUCAUUUUUGCUUCUUCUAUUCCUCCUUUUCUUUCUUUUUCUCUUUUUUAUUUGCUGAAGUAAUUUAAAGUAAAUCCCGGAUGCCAUGUCUUUCCACCCCUUCAUACUGCCUUGUGCAAUUCUAAAAUAUCCAGACACUGAGAAAGAUUUUUAAAGCGGGAAGUGUCAGUCACAUUAAAUGUUACAGAUGACUUGAGAUGAGGACCAGGGGGCUGUCAGGAAAGUUCCAGGAUGGAGAACAGCUGAAGGUGCAGAGGUGGCAGGAGGAAGUGCUGACCCCCAAGGCAUUGCUGGAAUUGGCACUAGGAGUUCACAGAGGGCCUUCGAGAGAAACAUUCAAGAAAUGCCAAUCAUUAUUUUGAGAACUGUGAUGGUAAAGAGGAGAAGGAAGAUCACCUUUGAGCAUGCAGGGAUGAGGCACAGAAAUAUUUUUAGGAUGGAGAGAGAUCGAUAUUUGGAAGCUCAGGUGACAGGUAUGAAAAAGGAAGCAAAACUGAUGGAAGAAAUUCCCAGAGGGACAGAAGGGAAUGAGAGGACACUGGGAUGAAUCUCUCAAUAAACAGGAAAGAAGUUACUGAAACAUCUAGAGGUGGGAGGAGAAGGGCGACAUUCUUGGAGGACACUGAGUUUGCAGUUUGGGACGUGAGAAUUCGGAACUCCCUGGGGCAGAGACCAGGGUCAACCCAGAAUUGUGAUGAUAUUGUGAUUUAUCGGGUAGCUGCUGCAGGCACUUUUGUCAUCUCGUUUAAGCCCCAUCAAUGCAUUUUGCAGCUCAGAAACGUGAACUCAGAGAUGUUAAGUAACUUAACUUGCCCAACACAUACUUAGUAAUUAGCAGAAUUGCUUUUAGCGCAGAGCCCUUCUACACAGCCCUGAGGAACACUGUCCUUAAACCACAGGACUCGCUGGUAGCACCUGUCCUCAGUAGCGUGUGGGUUUCCCUAGCAUCUCCCAGAAAACAGCUCACUGGAUUGGCUCAGGUGUGUAAGGGUACCUGGAUAUGUGAGCAGGGCAGGGGUGGCAGAAGAUGGAAGAUUCAGGAACCUAGGGGUGCCUGUCCAUCUUUGUUCUUGAAUUAUAUUAUUUCCUCUGGAAUUCCUGCUUCUGCUCUCUCCCUCUUUCCUUCUGUGAGCACCCUCUCUGGGUGCUCAAACUCCUCCUUGUCCCCAGCUACCCCCAGUCUUUUACUCAGGCUUAAUAAAACUUGUCCUUCACCUGGCAGCAUCACAUCCCCACCAACCUGCUGCCAUUUGUUGAGAG